rnacentral:rRNA from 1 species
GUGCACCAGUCGCGAAACCUCCGCAAUGCUCGAAAGAGCGACGGGGGGACUCCAAGUGCCUACGCUCAGCGUAGGCUGUUCCCGAGCCUAAAAAGCUCGGGGAGUAAGGGCUGGGUAAGACGGGUGCCAGCCGCCGCGGUAAUACCCGCAGCCCGAGUGGUGGCCGCUAUUAUUGGGCCUAAAGCGUCCGUAGCCGGCUCGGUAAAUGCCUGGGUAAAUCGUCUGGCCCAACCAGACGAAUUCCGGGUAGACUGCCGGGCUAGGGACCGGAGGAGGGAGAGGGUACUCCAGGGGUAGGGGUGAAAUCAGCAAGGUGAGUUGCUGAUGUAACUUGCCUUGCAAGUCACAAUCCUGUAAUCCCUGGAGGACCACCGGUGGCGAAGGCGCUCUCCUAGGACGGUCGACGGUGAGGGACGAAAGCCAGGGGAGCAAACCGGAUUAGAUA